AUGCUGCGGGCCACACAGGGUGAUGACACCGGAGGUAGGGCAGCACGCCGGGUGGAGGACGUCGCGGCCACCAGGGGCGACGGCAGUGUGGCGACGACGGCGGGGCGAGGAGAGGUUGGGAAGCAAGGCGGGUCGAGGAAGGACGUGCACCGGGGUGGAGGACAUCGCGGCCACCAGGGGCUAGGGCGGCGUGGCGGCGGCGGCGGGGCGAGGAGAAGUAGGGCAGCAAGGCGGGUCGAGGAUGUCCACUGGGUCAAGGACGUCGCAGACACCAGCGCUGAUCGCGGCGGUUCCUGGAGUGGUGGCGGCGUAGAUCGCGGAGGUGCUGUUUAA
rnacentral:rRNA from 1 species